UACGGGGGGGGCAAGCGUUGUUCGGAAUUACUGGGCGUAAAGGGCUCGUAGGCGGCCAACUAAGUCGGACGUGAAAUCCCCAGGCUCAACCUGGGAACUGCGUCCGAUACUGGAUGGCUUGAAUCCGGGAGAGGGAUGCAGAAUUCCAGGUGUAGCGGUGAAAUGCGUAGAGAUCAGGAAGAACACCAGUGGCGAAGGCGCUCUGCUAGGCCGUAACUGACACUGAGGGACGAAAGCUAGGGGAGCGAAUGGG
rnacentral:rRNA from 1 species